rnacentral:rRNA from 1 species
GACGUAGGGCGCGAGCGUUGUCCGGAUUUAUUGGGCGUAAAGAGCUCGUAGGCGGCUUGUUGCGUCAGCUGUGAAAACCCGCAGCUCAACUGUGGGCUUGCAGCUGAUACGGGCAGGCUUGAGUUCGGUAGGGGAGUCUGGAAUUCCUGGUGUAGCGGUGAAAUGCGCAGAUAUCAGGAGGAACACCGGUGGCGAAGGCGGCAUCCUGGACCAUUAUUGACGCUGAGGAGCGAAAGCCAGGGGAGCAAACGGG